AGGAGAAUAGUUCAAUUGGUAGAAUAAUGGUCUCCAAAACCAUCGGUUGUGGGUUCAAGCCCCUCUUUUCCUG
rnacentral:tRNA from 1 species